GGAGUAUGUGGUUUAAUUCGAUGCAACGCGAGAACUUACCUGGUCUUGACAUCCCGGAGACCCUUAGGAAACUAGGGGGUGCUUCCAUCUGGAAGGAAUCUGGAGACAGGUGCUGCAUGGCUGUCGUCAGCUCGUGUCGUGAGAUGUUGGGUUAAGUCCCGCAACGAGCGCAACCCUUGCCUUUAGUUGCCAGCAGUUCGGCUGGGCACUCUAAAGGGACUGCCGGUGUUAAACCGGAGGAAGGUGGGGAUGACGUCAAGUCCUCAUGGCCUUUAUGACCAGGGCUACACACGUACUACAAUGGCCGAUACAAAGGGCAGCGACACUGCGAGGUGAAGCCAAUCCCGUAAAAUCGGUCUCAGUCCGGAUUGGAGUCUGCAACUCGACUCCAUGAAGUUGGAAUCGCUAGUAAUCGUGGAUCAGCAUGCCACGGUGAAUACGUUCCCGGGCCUU
rnacentral:rRNA from 1 species